GUUGCACCAUGAACUUGCUGUCUGGUGCCAUUUGACACUCUACAGGAAUGCAGACAGAAUCAGUAGAAAAGCAAGAAACUCGCUUGUUUUCUGUGACAAAACUAGAGGUCUUGGAAGCGCUUUGUUUGAUGAGGCAUUCCUGUCAGUAUGGGACAUUUUUCAAAUUUUGUCAUAACACAAAGAAAACCACACGAAUGGCGGGUAGACAAUGCAAGUCUGGAAGAUCUCUUUGUUAUCACCACCAAACAAUGCAAAGGGGAGAUCAUGGUGACGUUCCAGACUAUGGUGAUCUUGGUGGUGGAGACGUUCCUGCAGACAUUCCAGGUGAUGGGUUCGACGUUCGAGAUGAUGAAAAGUUUGGUGAGGGGCAUCAUGUGAGUAUAAGAAAGCACUGCAGAUUAACUUAAGAAGAGGAUGGUAGGCAUGGUGGUGAACAGGGUGAUCAUGGUGAAGACGUUUCAGACUAUGGUGAUCUUGGUGGUGGAGACGUCCCUGCAGACAUUCCAGGUGAUGGGUUCGACGUUUGAGAUGAUAAAAAGGUUGGUGAGGGGCAUCAUAUGCACCCGUUUAUGUCCUGGAACGAUGAAAGGAUCAUGAAACGGAGGAAGAGACGGCCACCACCGCCGACUGGGGUAUUGCAAUGUCAAUCAAGAGAUCCAUUGUUUGUGUUGCAGGACGCUGUUAUGAUGAAGCUCCACCACACCCUGCUGAACAAGCCAGAAGCCUACGCUGUCAGGGUUUUCCGGAACCAGGUGAAAGCUAGGAGGAAACGGCGUUGUACGUGCAUCCAGUGCAAGUUCGUGUGCCAGGGCCAACAAUCCUGGGCCCGCCACGUCCGUAUGCACAAUUCCCGUUACCCCAUUCCUCGAGAAUUUGCAAAAUUGAUAAACAAAGGUUUGAUCCACCUACCGCCAUCACUAGUAGAGGAGAUGAUGAGUGCAAAGGUCAAUCAUGUGUUAAUUUAAUAGGACUAGGAGAUUUGCCAGAGCAGAUACAAGGCUAUUUUGUAGACAAGACAAACAGUAGGACACAUAGGUUUUCGGACUAUAGUGCUGUAAGACUCAUGCAUGCUCUUAUACAGCAGAGGCCUAGCACACAUGGCUUAUAUUUACU